rnacentral:rRNA from 1 species
UACGGGGGGUGCGAACGUUGUUCGGAAUCACUGGGCUUAAAGGGCGCGUAGGCGGGUGCUCACGUCCGUGGUGAAAUCCUCCGGCUCAACCGGAGAACUGCCUCGGAUACUGGGCGUCUCGAGUGUGGUAGGGGUAUGCGGAACUAUCGGUGGAGCGGUGAAAUGCGUUGAUAUCGAUAGGAACUCCGGUGGCGAAGGCGGCAUACUGGACCACCACUGACGCUGAUGCGCGAAAGCCAGGGGAGCAAACGGG